GACGAAGGUCCGGGUUCUCUCGGAUUGACGGUAGGUGGAGAAGAAGCACCGGCCAACUACGUGCCAGCAGCCGCGGUAAUACGUAGGGUGCGAGCGUUGUCCGGAAUUACUGGGCGUAAAGAGCUCGUAGGUGGUUUGUCGCGUUGUUCGUGAAAUAUCACGGCUUAACUGUGAGCGUGCGGGCGAUACGGGCAGACUAGAGUACUGCAGGGGAGACUGGAAUUCCUGGUGUAGCGGUGGAAUGCGCAGAUAUCAGGAGGAACACCGGUGGCGAAGGCGGGUCUCUGGGCAGUAACUGACGCUGAGGAGCGAAAGCGUGGGGAGCGAACAGGAUUAGAUACCCUGGUAGUCCACGCCGUAAACGGUGGGUACUAGGUGUGGGUUUCCUUCCUUGGGAUCCGUGCCGUAGCUAACGCAUUAAGUACCCCGCCUGGGGAGUACGGCCGCAAGGCUAAAACUCAAAGGAAUUGACGGGGGCCCGCACAAGCGGCGGAGCAUGUGGAUUAAUUCGAUGCAACGCGAAGAACCUUACCUGGGUUUGACAUGCACAGGACGCGUCUAGAGAUAGGCGUUCCCUUGUGGCCUGUGUGCAGGUGGUGCAUGGCUGU
rnacentral:rRNA from 1 species